UUUUUCUAAUACAGUAACUGAAAACUGAUGCUUUUAAGUUCUGGCACGGCAUUCUGUCAUCCUUGUGAUGAGGUUGGUGGACUUGCGGCAUGUUGCACUGUAGUUGCUUAAGCUUACUAGCCCCUGCCCCCUCCCCCGUGUGUGGGUGUGCUGUGCAUUGACAGAUUGAGAAGCUCCCACAACCUCCACUACCCCCUGAGGGUGGCAUACUGUCUCCACAGAAGCCAGUGAAUCUUCUUCCAGAGGUGCCCAUGCAACAGACAAAGCAAAUUGACCGAGAGAGAAACUAAAGAUUGUGAAGUUAUAGAACGUUUGAUCAAGACAUAUUUUUACAUUGUGCGUAAAAGUAUCCAGGACAAAGUGCCUAAGGCUGUUAUGCACUUUUUGGUUAAUCAUGUCAAGGACAAUCUUCAGUCAGAACUCGUCAAGCAUUUGUAUCGCACAGAUGAGAUUGAUAAUUUCCUCUCAGAAUCCCCUGAGAUUGCUCAGCGUCGGAAGGAAGCUGCAGAAAUGCUAAAGGCUCUCCAGAAUGCAAAUGUCAUCAUUGGACAGAGAUAAGAGAAACCCC